GUGGCUUUACAUGCUUUAGAGAUUCAUGCUUUGUAUUAUAUAUACGUGGAGCUUGAUGUGAACGUAUUAGCCUACAUUAAAUUUAGUUCCCCUCGCUAUCCUGUUCUUCAAUUACAAUGAUGUUUCUCAGGACGUCGGUGAACAAUAGUU
rfam:Brassica napus, WGS project CCCW01000000 data, contig: 11914